GUUGGUUAUGCAAAACUGCGGAAUGGGUAAUAAACAAUAACAAAUCUGGAGUAGGCUGUCCCUUUACGUAGAGGUUAACGAAAACCUGUGUAAACCUAUCCAGCAGAAGAAAUUACACUCCAAGUGGGGAGAUUUUACGAUGUGAGGAGAGAGGCCAUAUUGUGAAAAGAGCUCACUUCACCUUAGAUGUUUUCGCAAAAGAAAUGCUAUCACUAGAUGAUGCCCACUCAAUACAAUAACACGGUGUGGUGUAUGAUAUGUACUACAAAGUUUGCGUAGAAGUGGAAGACCACAAGCUUAUCGGUACGACUUACAGAUUGCAGAGAACUUGAUCAAACGCCUUCAUGCAACUAUUCCUUGAUGGGAGCUUGUGACAUCAUGCCAAGUCCCUGUCAGAAGUAGGGUGAAUCUGUCACACCUGAGAAGCUGUUCCUGCCCUGCAGCUGGAUCCACAGUUGGCUUAUUUGGAAUAUCUGUCCAGUUAAAAAAUGGCUCCAGCGGUUAGAAACAGGUGAUGGCAUGGCAGAAUGGCUUUAUGGAAACUUCAAGCAUAUGACAGCUUAAUUUUCUUCCACAAGGCUGUGAGACCAGUUUGCAGGUGAUGCUAAAGUUAUCAGAUCUACAGCACCUGUUGACAUACAGCCAACACGUGUCUAGUUCAUUGUCAAAAGAAAUGUUUGUGCCUCUCUUGUUACAACAGGUGUUUUCCAGUUGGAGUACACGUGUGUGUUUUGUGUAACUGCUGCUCUCAUAACUCGAUGUACGCGUGGAAAGGGAUUGUCCUUGGCAUUCCUGUUUGAACUAUAAACCUGGCUAUUUAAUACAAUGCUAUUAAAGUGUUUGAUAUCUGUUCUAUUAAUAAAGUUGUGACUGAUCUUA